GCUUGGUAGCACAUUACUGUGGUCCCAGUCAGGAGGCUGGGCAGCAGGAUCGCAUGAGCCCAGGAGUUCUGGGCUGAGGUUGUGCUAUGCCCAUCUGGUGUCUGCCCUAAGUUCGGCAUCAAUAUGGUGAACCGGACCAGCAGGUAGCUAAGGAGGGGUGAACCUGCACAGGUUGGAGAGGGAGCAGCUCAAAACUCCCUUGCUGAUCAGUAGUAGGAUCUCGCCUGUGCAUAACCAUUGAGCUCCAGACUGGGUGACACAGAGAGACUCCGUAUCUU
rnacentral:SRP_RNA from 1 species